rnacentral:rRNA from 1 species
AUUGAACGCUGGCGGAAUGCUUUACACAUGCAAGUCGAACGGCAGCACGGGGGCAACCCUGGUGGCGAGUGGCGAACGGGUGAGUAAUACAUCGGAACGUGCCCAGUCGUGGGGGAUAACGUAGCGAAAGUUACGCUAAUACCGCAUACGAUCUAUGGAUGAAAGGGGGGGAUCGCAAGACCUCGCGCGAUUGGAGCGGCCGAUAUCAGAUUAGGUAGUUGGUGAGGUAAAGGCUAACCAAGCCGAAGAUCUGUAGCUGGUCUGAGAGGACGACCAGCCACACUGGAACUGAGACACGGUCCAGACUCCUACGGGAGGCAGCAGUGGGGAAUUUUGGACAAUGGACGCAAGUCUGAUCCAGCCAUUCCGCGUGCAGGACGAAGGCCUUCGGGUUGUAAACUGCUUUUGUACAGAACGAAAAGGUCUCUAUUAAUACUAGAGGCUCAUGACGGUACUGUAAGAAUAAGCACCGGCUAACUACGUGCCAGCAGCCGCCGUAA